UACAGAGGUCUCAAGCGUUGUUCGGAAUUACUGGGCGUAAAGGGUGCGCAGGCCGCGCGGGCAGUCAAAUGUGAAAUCCUGGGGCUCAACCUCAGAAUUGCGCUUGAUACUUCCGCGCUAGAACUUUGGAGAGGGAUCUGGAAUUCUCGGUGUAGCAGUGAAAUGCGUAGAUAUCUGGAGGAAUACCGGUGGCGAAGGCGGCAUUCUGGACCGACAUUGACACUAAAGCGCGAAAGCCAGGGGAGCAAACGGG
rnacentral:rRNA from 1 species